CUUCAGUGUGAAUUAAAUAAGCUGAAAACAAGCCCAGAGCUCAGUCUUGCUUCUACUAGCAACUACGGUUUCUCGGGGAAGGCUGCUCAGCCCGCCAAGUCCACAGCAGUCACAACCGUGGUGUUCUCGAUUAUAUUUUGCAGAGUGACCUCUCCGCGCUUGCUUUCUGGAGGGUGACCGCUCACCUCCCCUUCCUCCUGGAGCCCUGAUGUCGGAGGCCCUGAGCCAUGGACGGUAUCUGAGGAUGGGUUUAGCAUAUAUGGCCGGAGAAAUUGGCAACAUUUGCUACGAAUAAAACCCCGGCGUUUCCAGCA